UGGGGAAUAUUGCACAAUGGGGGGAAACCCGUGAUGCAGCGACGCCGCGUGAGUGAAGAAGUAUUUCGGUAUGUAAAGCUCUAUCAGCAGGAAAGAAAAUGACGGUACCUGACUAAGAAGCCCCGGCUAACUACGUGCC
rnacentral:rRNA from 1 species